AUGAGUGUGGCGUCCAGGGGGUUUAGACGGCAAAGCCCCGCCAAGAGAAGAAGGGAGAUGCCGACCACAUCGAAUACCGUUGAGGGACCGAGUGGGAGGAGGAGGAAACACCGUUCACUGACUUCAGCCUCGUACUUGCCGUUGGAGGCUUUAAUAAGCCCGAGUGGAAGAGCUUUCAGGAAGGAUGAGUCGUGCCAGGGAAACAGCAAGUGUAACGCUUUGCCAUGUGAGAUGAUUCGAGAUACAGAUGCUGCCCAAUUUCUACCAUCUCAUUAAAUUUAUGUGUAAUUUCUUACAAGGAUUACGGAAGCAGGAUUUGGGCUCAUUGCCUGCGAUCUAGUGCUCAUUCAAUUUGUAUCCUUUUCUAAUCUAGAGUGAGAUAAUGUCUUUAAAAAUUUCACAUUCAAAAGUGAUUCUGGAAACGAUUUUUUUUCUUUUUUCCUUGAACUUAUUUGAAGAACACUUGACAGAUAUGAUUACAUAUACCUAAGGUGUAUAAUGUGAUGAUUGAAUGUACGUUUACACCGUGGAUUGAGUACCAAGAUCAAGAUAAGUAAGAUCGUGGUCAUCACUUUACAAUGUUAACUUGUGUGUGGUGAGGGCCCUUAAGAUCUAUUCUCAACACCUUGCAAGUGUACAAUACUGCAUUAGUAACUAUAGUCACCAUGUUCUACAAGAGAUCCUCAGAACUGAAAGUUUGACCUGUUUCCCUCUCCCCAGCCCCUGACAACCCAGCAUCCCAUUCUCCAUUUCUAUGAAGUCAGAUUUUUUUGUUAAUUCCACAUAUAAGUGGAAUUAACAUACAGUAAACCAAUUUUUGAGAACCUUACUCAUCUGCACUGUUUGAAGGAGGCGUAUUAGGUGCUUGGCACAUCUGAUAUGACUUGGGGAGAUUUCAGAAAACUUGUCAUCCUUUCUUUAGGUGGUUAUUUUCUUUGCAUGUUGUAAAGAAAGUAAUGGCAGCAACACUUGAAAUCUAACUCCUACUUUUCCAGUGGAAAUCCAGGAAUCAAAGGCUGGAAGGAAAAAGUGGGGGAAGGAAAGAGAAGAGUAGAAGGAAGGGAGGAAAAUUAUUGCUAAAGAUUAUAGUGACAGAUGUACUGGCAGACACAAUUAUGGGGAAAUCCGUGGAAAAAUGCAUAGGUAUAGAAUGCUGUUAGCAGGCUGAACCUGUUCUGUCUGCUAUCAAUAUGAUAAAUAAUGGUGGAAUGUAUAGAUUUACAUUCUGCUCAUCUCUACAAAAUGUCACCUUAUAUAACUAUCAGAGUGUAAAAUGGAGAUGUUUGAUUACCGAAAUUGCAUCACUUUCUGUAAGUAAUACUUUGUUUGCAAUAUUUAGAGAGAGCCAUAACAAAAAUCUGGCCCAAAGUACAUUCUUAUGUGGACAGACAGGACCUAAGAUUAAUGUUCCCUGCUUUUCCUAGAGCUCAAAGUGACCCAUAUCAUUGAAUUUAUUAGUGAAGUUUGACAUCGGAUAAGUUCUCUGCAUUGUAUGUGUCUGAUUGGAUAAUUUGUUAUCCUGCAUUCAUAGAUAAUAAAAUAUAGAGUGUAUUUCCUUCA
rnacentral:lncRNA from 1 species